rnacentral:lncRNA from 1 species
GUUUCCUCCGCCUGGUGUAGCAAAAGUGUAAACACGCGCGCUCCGGAAGGCGCCCUCCAGUGGGAGGUUGCUCAGGGGAUGGCGGAGCUGUGAAACUCGGAGCUAGAAGGAAAGUCUCAACGCUUGUCUAAAUUUUGCUUUGUCGUGACGAGCUACCUAGACCCACGCAGAGCUAACUUGGGAGAGCGCUUGUGACGCUACGAACCUCUCGAACACCUGACGACUGGGCGCCAGGGCCGGAUGGAGGGUGGAGAGCCAGUGCGGCGCAGCUGCCUCCUCUUAACGGGGACACCUUGCAGGAAUGUGCGGAGUGGAGCUAACGGGAGCGGAUAGAAACCGAGGGAGGGGAAGAGAGCGCGAAGGCUUGGCCGGAAGGAGAGGUUAAAAAGGAAAGGCCUAAAAUGAGGAAGAGAGUUACCACAACAAGCAGUACCUAGUUCCAGUUCUUGGUCCCAGGAGUUUGUGGUUGUUGCUGCUUUCAUCUUCCUCAGCCAACACAAAAGGAAAGUGCCAAGGGGCGAUUCCUAGGACCUUCAGUGCAGUCUCCACCUUGCGGACUUGGCUCAUUUGUGUCCACUCCUUUCUCCAGCCUUUUACACUUGAUGCUCUUGGAUGAAUAGAAAGGAGCACAAUUAAUGGAAAACACAAGCUUGGGAGUCAAGGGAUUUGGGUUCUAUUCUUGUCCUCCCUUGGUGACGACAUCAUUACCUUGGGUUAUUCAAGCUUUCAGUGCCAGAGUUCCUAUAUCAAUAAAAGAUUAUUACAUUGACCUCUUAGAGAAAUGUUUUCAUGGUACUGAAUUGCAAAUAAAGUAUGUGUAGCGAUGUGUUAUA